rnacentral:lncRNA from 1 species
AAUUAAAGCCAACAUUCUAAGGAGGAGACAAAGCCAAAGCCGAAACAAACUUCCUUGAAACAAACACUACAAACACUUAGGAGAUCAACAAUCAAGACAACAAAGAAGUGCACUAACCAAAAGGAGGAACAACAAAGGGAGUUUUCUUAUUUUCCUUUGCAACUUGGUUUAUUGUUAAUUACCUCUUUUAAUUACGUUUUAGACGGUGAGUGUGUCUUCAAGGGCUCAAAGUGUCCAAAAAGCCUCACCUAGGGCCGAAUAGUAUAACAUUCUUGAUUAGUAAUUGUUACUUGUUUGUAAUUGCCUUUUCUUUUGCUUAGUUAGUGACGCUUUGCAU